GUGUACCACCAUAAUUAUAAUGGUGUUGUAUGAUGUUACUAAAGUGUCCUGGAGGUGUACCACCAUAAUUAUAAUGGUGUUGUAUGAUGAUACUAAAGUGUUCUGGAGGUGUACCACCAUAAUUAUAAUGGUGUUGUAUGAUGAUACUAAAGUGUCCUGGAGGUUUGUAGAUGAAUGGUUCAGAGAACCGACAUGUUGAUAAAUUAGACACAUGGCCAACUCUUGGGUAUGUGGCGAAACGUUUCCUCAAUAAAGAUACCCAAGAGUUGCACAUGUGUCUAAUUUGUCCUGGAGGUGUACCACCAUAAUUAUGAUGGUGUUGUAUGAUGUUACUAAAGUGUCCUGGAGGUGUACCACCAUAAUUAUGAUGGUGUUGUAUGAUGUUACUAAAGUGUCCUGGAGGUGUACCACCAUAAUUAUGAUGGUGUUGUAUGAUGUUACUAAAGUGUCCUGGAGGUGUUCCACCAUAA